UCUCAUGGGCAGGGUGGGGGGAAGAGAACUUUAGUAUAGGUAGAAAAGGAAAAUGAGACCAGCUGUGUUCUAGAUUGUUUUUCCCUCAUUCUCAUAGAUGCUGGUUGCCAACAUUGACUUGGGUCCUACUAUUUUGGACAUUGCUGGCUACGACCUAAAUAAGACACAGAUGGAUGGGAUGUCCUUAUUGCCCAUUUUGAGAGGUGCCAGUAACUUGACCUGGCGAUCAGAUGUCCUGGUGGAAUACCAAGGAGAAGGCCGUAACGUCACUGACCCAACAUGCCCUUCCCUGAGUCCUGGCGUAUCUCAAUGCUUCCCAGACUGUGUAUGUGAAGAUGCUUAUAACAAUACCUAUGCCUGUGUGAGGACAAUGUCAGCAUUGUGGAAUUUGCAGUAUUGCGAGUUUGAUGACCAGGAGGUGUUUGUAGAAGUCUAUAAUCUGACUGCAGACCCAGACCAGAUCACUAACAUUGCUAAAACCAUAGACCCAGAGCUUUUAGGAAAGAUGAACUAUCGGUUAAUGAUGUUACAGUCCUGUUCUGGGCCAACCUGUCGCACUCCA
rnacentral:sRNA from 1 species